GUAGGGAAUAUUGCACAAUGGAGGAAACUCUGAUGCAGCGACGCCGCGUGAGUGAUGAAGGCCUUAGGGUCGUAAAGCUCUGUUGAAUGGGAAGAAAAAAAUGACGGUACCAUUCGAGGAAGGACCGGCUAACUUCGUGCCAGCAGCCGCGGUAAUACGAGGGGUCCUAGCGUUGUUCGGAAUCAUUGGGCGUAAAGGGUGUGUAGGUGGCCAUGUAAGUCAGGUGUGAAAGCCCCGGGCUCAACCCGGGAAGUGCACUUGAUACUGCGUGGCUUGAGUACCGAAGAGGGUAGUGGAAUUCCAGGUGUAGUGGUGAAAUACGUAGAUAUCUGGAGGAACACCGGUGGCGAAGGCGGCUACCUGGUCGAGUACUGACACUGAGACACGAAAGCAUGGGGAUCAAACAGGAUUAGAAACCCGAGUAGUCC
rnacentral:rRNA from 1 species